GUACUUACCUGGCAGGGGAGAUACCAUGAUCACGAAGGUGGUUUUCCCAGGGCGAGGCUUAUCCAUUGCACUCCAGAUAUGCUGACGCCUGCGAUUUCCCCAAAUGUGGGAAACUCGAUUGCAUAAUUUGUGGUAGUGGGGGACUGCGUUCGUGCUCUCCCCUG
rnacentral:snRNA from 1 species